rnacentral:rRNA from 1 species
AGAGUUUGAUCCUGGCUCAGGAUGAACGCUAGCUACAGGCUUAACACAUGCAAGUCGAGGGGAAACGACAUCGAAAGCUUGCUUUUGAUGGGCGUCGACCGGCGCACGGGUGAGUAACGCGUAUCCAACCUGCCCACCACUUGGGGAUAACCUUGCGAAAGUAAGACUAAUACCCAAUGACGUCUCUAGAAGACAUCUGAAGGAGAUUAAAGAUUUAUCGGUGAUGGAUGGGGAUGCGUCUGAUUAGCUUGUUGGCGGGGUAACGGCCACCAAGGCGACGAUCAGUAGGGGUUCUGAGGAGGAAGGUCCCCACACUUGGAACUGAGACACGGUCCAAACUCGUACGGAGGCA